rnacentral:rRNA from 1 species
AGCGAACGCUGGCGGCAGGCCUAACACAUGCAAGUCGAACGCCCCUUCGGGGGAGUGGCGGACGGGUGAGUAACGCGUGGGAAUGUGCCCUUUGGUACGGAACAACUGAGGGAAACUUCAGCUAAUACCGUAUGUGCCCUACGGGGGAAAGAUUUAUCGCCAUUGGAGCAGCCCGCGUUGGAUUAGGUAGUUGGUGGGGUAAUGGCCCACCAAGCCGACGAUCCAUAGCUGGUCUGAGAGGAUGAUCAUCCACACUGGGACUGAGACACGGCCCAGACUCCUACGGGAGGGAGCAGUGGGGAAUAUUGCGCAAUGGGCGAAAGCCUGACGCAGCCAUGCCGCGUGAAUGAUGAAGGUCGUAGGAUUGUAAAAUUGUUUCACCGGGGAAGAUAAUGACGGUACCCGGAGAAGAAGCCCCGGCUAACUUCGUG